UACGUAGGGGGCAAGCGUUGUCCGGAAUUACUGGGCGUAAAGCGUGCGCAGGCGGUCUGUUAAGACCGAUGUGAAAUCCCCGGGCUUAACCUGGGAACUGCAUUGGUGACUGGCAGGCUUUGAGUGUGGCAGAGGGAGGUAGAAUUCCACGUGUAGCAGUGAAAUGCGUAGAGAUGUGGAAGGAAUACCGAUGGCGAAGGC
rnacentral:rRNA from 1 species